GGACGAGUAGAAUAGAAGAACAAAUUUGAGAGUAUUUUAAGAGAUUGCAAAAGUAUAAACAAAACAUGUCAGGUUUUGGACCUUUGAAAAUCACAAUAUUCGGAUAGCUUGAAAAAUAGUAGCCUAGUGCUAAGAAAAUACAGUAGAAGCAUUUGCAUAUAUGGUUAGAAAAUAGUAGUCCAGUUUUGGACAAGGUAGAAAUCUCUUGCAUAAGUAAUUUUGAAGAAAAUAGGGCAAAAGUUUAUAAAAAUGAGAAAGCUUCAGAAACAGACGAGUUCAUGCAGAGGCGGAUUAAUUCGAACAUGACUUAGAGG
rnacentral:lncRNA from 1 species